rnacentral:rRNA from 1 species
GAACUGCAUCCAAAACUAUUAGACUAGAGUGUGGGAGAGGAAGAUGGAAUUAGUUGUGUAGGGGUAAAAUCCGUAGAGAUAACUAGGAAUACCAAAAGCGAAGGCAAUCUUCUGGAACACUACUGACGCUGAGGCGCGAAAGCGUGGGGAGCAAACAGGAUUAGAUACCCUGGUAGUCCACGCCAGUAAACGAUGAAUGUUAGUCGUCGGGGGCCUAGUGUCUUCGGUGAUGCAGCUAACGCCAUUAAACAUUCCGCCUGGGGGAGUACGGUCGCCAAGAUUAAAACUCAAAGGAAUAGACGGGGACCCGCCACAAGUGGUGGAGCCAUGUGGUUUAAUUCGAAGAUACGCGAAGAACCUUACCUAGCCCUUGACAUAUAUUAGAAUCUUUCAGAGAUGAGAGAGUGCCCUUCGGGAGCUUUUAUACAGGUGCUCCACGGCGUCGUCAGCUCGGUCGGAGAUGUUGGUUAAGUCCCGCAACGAGCCCAACCCUCGUCACUAGUUACUAACGAUUCGUCGAGACUCUAGUGAGACUCCCUUCGUAAGAGAGAAGUGAGACGACGUCAAGUCAUCAUGCCCUUACGGCUAGGCAACACACGUGCUACAAUGUUAGGACAAUGAGAGACGAUACCGCGACGUGGAGCAAAUCUAUAAACCUAAUCUCAGUUCGGAUUGUAGUCUGCAACUCGACUACAUGAAGCUGGAAUCACUAGUAAUCGUAGAUCAGCUAUGCUACGGUGAAUACGUUCCCGGGUCUUGCACACACCGCCCGUCAAGGG